GCUCCUGUAAAAUGUCAGUCAGAGAGUGUUCCUUGUAAUGUCAUUUGCCUUAGUAUAAAAGCUGGAGUCUUGGGUGAUGGGGAGAUGGCUCAGCAGUUCAGAGCGUUUGUGACUCUUCCAGGUGACCCAUGUUUGAUUCUUAGCACUAAUGUCAGGUGGCUCUCAACUGGGAAGGAUCUAGCUGCAGGCAUUUUUUCAACAGCUCAGCCCAUGUCAGCACACAGGAACAGAAUAAAAAGGGGUUUAGGCAUGCUGUCCUUGCUCCCCCUUACUCUGAUGAGACCCCAGCCUAUGGGAUGCUGCUGCUCACACUCAGGUGGACCCUCCUAUGUCAGCAAAUCCUCUGAAAAUGACCUCACAGACCGAGCAGUGGGUGUAGCAGAAACAAAAGAUUGCAGGUGUUUUACAUGGAGAUAAACUUCUAAGAGCUAAUACCCUACUUUUAAUCAGCUCUCUGGGACCCCAACCUUCAAACCACAUAAAUUCAGCAGCAAAAUAGUACAUUCUGAGGUUGAACUUUCUCCUCUGCAGGAAGAAGAGAGGAACCUGGUAGCUAGUUUGGUCCAAGCAAGGUGCUUUCCCUGUGCUCUGCUGGAGGCAUAAACUCCGUGAACUGAAAAUAGCCAAGAAAACAACUAUAAUUUCCUCCUUGCUUCCUACAAAGGAUUGAACAAAAAUGCUCAGGCCCUCCCGGGCGAUCAUAAAGAAGUUUAAAAUUUCAAAUAUUAUUAAAUACGACAGAAGAUGGUACUGGGUCUUCUGGAAAUGGAAUGGUUUUGAGCCACCUGAUUUGUAUGCUAGGAACUGAACUCCGGUCCUCUGUAAAAUCAGCAAGAACUCUCAACUCCUGAGCUGCUUCUUGCUGUUUUAAUGGUGAUUCAAACAUUGAAGAGGAAAGUUUCUGAGCAGCGGUCCACAGAACUUUCUCAAACUGAGCAGAACUUUGGAGUAGAAGGUUUUGGUAGGAAGGCAUCAUCCCAAAAUGUCAUCAGAAUUGGAGGAACUCAAAUUUGAAAUCCAGAAGUGUAAAUUCGAGAGGCAUGAACUUUAUCAAAUCCUGGACCUUUAUAUCUAUGAUGAUUGGGACUACAGCAUCAGGCACUCCCAGCUCCUGUGUGAACAAACUCAAUUGAAGAACCAUAUACAGAUUUUGCUGAAUGAGAACAGAGAACUGCUGGUGGAGCAGUCUGAACUGCCAGCAUCCUAUUUGGAGGCAAAGGGGUUCUGUGAAGAGUCCAGAAUGAACAUCUGUGUCCCCAGUGCCAAGCAACAGUAGGCUUUCGCCCGAUUCUCGGUACCGUGUCGGUGCUGGCGCCGACAGCUCUGCUCUCCAGAGUCAGCAGAAAUGGCAUGCAUCAGCAACACUGAGCCAGGAGAUGGAGACAUUAAUUCAGUGUGCUAGCUAGCUGGUGGCUUUAGGGUAAGUCUCCAGUCAAAAACCUUAUGAGUAGGGCUCUGCAACAGGACCAGCUUGGGAGCCACUUGUUAAAGCAGAGAAGCCUACUGGAGGAAGGAACCAUGUCACCAGUGCUUCAUGGAUCCCUUUCCUCCACAACAGAAAGACA
rnacentral:sRNA from 1 species